GCCUGGGUGGCUCAGUCAGUUAAGCGUCUGACUUCAGCUCAGGUCAUGAUCUCACAGUUUGUGGGUUCGAGCCCCGUGUCAGGUG
rnacentral:tRNA from 1 species